rnacentral:tRNA from 1 species
GAUCUCGUGGCGCAAUGGAUAGCGUGUUAGACUUCUAAUCUAAAGAUUGUGGGUUCGAUUCCCAUCGAGAUUG